GGACAAACUAAUUCAGUUUACAUUCGGACGCGGCGGUGGCUAAAAGUGUUGAAAUUUGUUAAGCGGAUGAAAAGGAUUUUCCACAUACAAUAAACAGCGCAGCAUAGCAGAGCAGAAAGAACCCAACAAAGUGCUGAGUCUCAAUACGUUUGUAUGUGCGUUCGUGUUAAAUACAACAACAAGACAGCGUGCUAGUGUGCUAGUGGUAGUGUGCGGCAAUACGAACUAAACUAAAUACGACGCACUGCCAAGAGAAACAGUGAAAAUUCAAUAAAAUUUGAAAUUCUUACGGUGUGCGCACAUAAUUUGGGCGCUUCAAAGGAAACGGAUAUUGCAAACGUAAAUUACCCGGGUCAUUAAGGCACUUGUCAGUGGAGAACGUCAAGGCAAUAAGAAAAAUCCACCACGAGAAGAGAAAUACUUAAAAAAUAACAUAACAACAAAGGAAAGAAAGUAAAAAAGAAAAACAAAACCAAAAAACAAAAAACUUGUGUGUGCAAUUGUUUCGCUUAUUCGUUGUUGUUGUAAAGCGUUGAAAAAAUGAGGUGUUUACUUUUGAUCGCAACCAUUUGUCUGGUGUUGAUGUCAUCCGGUCUGAGCGGCGCUAAUGCCAAGAAGAAGAAAUACGUAGGCGAAAAUGGUGGCGAUUUCGAGUUUAUCGAUGAGGUAA